rnacentral:rRNA from 7 species
AAACCAACAGGGAUUGCUCUAGUAACGGCGAGUGAAGCAGCAAUAGCUCAAAUUUGAAAUCUGGCGUCUUCGACGUCCGAGUUGUAAUUUGUAGAGGAUGCUUCUGAGUAACCACCGACCUAAGUUCCUUGGAACAGGACGUCAUAGAGGGUGAGAAUCCCGUAUGCGGUCGGAAAGGUGCUCUAUACGUAGCUCCUUCGACGAGUCGAGUUGUUUGGGAAUGCAGCUCUAAAUGGGAGGUAAAUUUCUUCUAAAGCUAAAUAUUGGCCAGAGACCGAUAGCGCACAAGUAGAGUGAUCGAAAGAUGAAAAGCACUUUGGAAAGAGAGUUAAAAAGCACGUGAAAUUGUUAAAAGGGAAGGGAUUGCAACCAGACUUGCUCGCGGUGUUCCGCCGGUCUUCUGACCGGUCUACUCGCCGCGUUGCAGGCCAGCAUCGUCUGGUGCCGCUGGAUAAGACUUGAGGAAUGUAGCUCCCUCGGGAGUGUUAUAGCCUCUUGUGAUGCAGCGAGCGCCGGGCGAGGUCCGCGCUUCGGCUAGGAUGCUGGCGUAAUGGUCGUAAUCCGC